CUUUGGUGCUGCUUAACUGGCCAUGUGGGGCAGGGCAAAGAAACAACUCCUGUGCUGGCCAUUGUACCCCAGCUGCAGGAGACCUUCUGCAGCUGAAACACUGUGGUGGAGCUGCAUCUGCUUUGUUUAUUUAAUACUGGCUAUUUCACAGCAGACUAAUAAGGGCAGGAUGGUGAAAGGCAUUCAGACCCUGCUGCAGAAGUCCUGAGUUGCACAAAGUAGUUUCUGUAUGUCUCUGUCCCUGUGCAACAAAGCACAUAUCUGUUGGAUUCCUGCCUUGUGCCCGUGAUUAAUUUGGUCUCUGGUCUCAGGUAAGCUGUCCAGCCAUUGGUACAAACCUUGUGUGAUCAUGGUUGGUUCUUGUAAGCAUGUGGGCUCAGCCGGCCAGCAAAUUACCAGCCCCAGGAGAGCCAAUGAUCCAGACAAACUGCCCUCUCCACAUUUGUGGAGCAAAUCUUGCUCCCCUCUGGCUGCAGCCCUCUUUGUCUUACCUAGGCAUGGUGUACUGUGCUGAGGAAUAGCUAAAAGGUCUCUCUUGACACCUGGUAUGACAGACUGUGGGUAACUGAAUACACUGACAGGACCUUGGUCUGCAAAAAGUACAGCUGAAGGAGACGUGAUCAAGGCUGUGAAGUGAUGAGUGGUGCUGGGAAGUGAAUAAUCCAUGUGUCCUAUGACACUGGAGCACAGGAGCAUGCAAUGACAUUACCAGGCACCAGAUUUAAAACCAACCAGAGGAAAUGCAUUUUGCAGACAACACUGUGGAGCUGUGGAGCCAGUGCUACAGGAUGCCGGACUUAGAUUUGGAAAAGGCUACCAAGGGCUGUUAAAUAUGUGGCUGAUGGUGGAGCCUGUGCUGGGAGCAGGGCUUGGGAGGCUGCUGGGGGAGCAUUGCUCUCUGCUUGCUGUGGUGUCGCUCUGGUUCAGCAUCUGCUCCAAGCUGCUAUUGACUGUGUGGACAAUGGCCUUGUGCUUUGGCAGACUGAGAAAGCAGCAGUCGUGUCUUUCAUCUUUCCUGCUUUCACAGUGAAGCUGGAAUAAAACCAUGAAUCUUCCACAACGGAGGACCCAGCAGUGCAGGAGUUUGACUGAGCUGACUUUCCACUCCGAGCAGCUUUGCCUGUGGUUGUGUUAGCGCUGCACUUGGGGCAGGCAGAGGGAACGCAGAGGAGACGAUGUUCAGCCGGAAUGGUGCCCGAGGCGAGGGAUACGUCCAAGAGCUCUUCCAUGAGGAAGCACAGCAGGUGUCUCAAACGCAGACCAAGCCCUGGUGGAAGAUCCAGCUGUUUGUAUGGGAGCCGGUGCUCUUUGGAACGUGGGAUGGGGUCUUCACCUCCUGCAUGAUCAACAUUUUUGGAGUGGUCCUUUUCCUGAGGACAGGAUGGCUUGUGGGAAACACUGGCAUUGUAAUGGGCAUGUUUUUGGUGUCCUUUGUCAUUCUGGUUGCCCUGGUGACAGUCUUGUCUGGAAUUGGGGUGUGUGAGAAGUGCAGCAUUGGAAGUGGAGGAGUCUACUCCAUGAUUUCUACUGUCCUUGGAGGUCAAGUAGGGGGCACCAUUGGCCUCCUUUACAUUUUUGGCCAGUGUGUUGCAGGUGCCAUGUACAUCACUGGCUUUGCAGAGUCCAUUGCAGGUGUCCUGAGCCUCAGCAACAUCUGGGCAGUGCGUGGCAUCUCCCUGGCUGUCCUGCUCGGCCUGCUGGGAAUCAAUCUGGCUGGGGUGAAGUGGAUCAUCAGGCUCCAGCUUCUGCUGCUCUUCCUGCUGGCUGUCUCAACGCUGGACUUUGUCAUUGGAUCCUUUACACAUCUUGAUCCAGAGCACGGCUUUGUUGGCUACUCCGAAGAGCUGAUGUUCAACAACACACUGCCAGACUACAGCCAGGGGGAGUCCUUCUUCACUGUUUUUGGAGUGUUUUUCCCAGCUGCCACAGGCGUGAUGGCUGGGUUCAACAUGAGUGGGGAUCUCCAGAAGCCUUCUACCAACAUCCCUGUGGGGUCUCUGGCUGCUAUUGGCACCUCGUGGUUUCUGUACAUGGUCUUCGUUUUUUUGCUGGGAGCCAUUUGUACCCGUCAGUCACUCCGCUAUGACUUCAUGAUAGCAGAGAAGGUAUCCUUGGUGGGUUUUUUAUUUUUGCUAGGGCUGUACAUCUCAUCUCUGGCCUCCUGCAUGGGAGGGCUGUAUGGAGCACCCAGGAUCCUGCAGUGCAUCGCCCAGGAGAAUGUGAUCCCCAUGCUUGCCUUCCUUGGACGUGGGAAAGGUCCCAACAAGACUCCAGUGGCUGCGAUUUGCUUAACAAGUCUCAUCACCAUGGCUUUUGUCUUCAUUGGGCAAGUGAAUGUUCUUGCUCCCAUAGUCACCAUCAACUUCAUGCUGACAUAUAUUUCUGUGGACUAUUCCUAUUUCUCACUAUCCUUGAGCUACAACAUUCAGCAGAAAACUGAAGAGACUCAGAAGGGAACUGCUAGACCUGCUCACUCUUCCCAGCCUUUAAUUUUCAACAAGUCCCCCAGCCGUUCAGCAGAUGGGGUAAUUCAAAGCAGAUCAAAUGGCACCUUGCUGGAAUUCAAAAAAGAUAUGGACCAGCUUUUUAAACCAUUUUUUAGUGAGCCAAGUACUUGCAAAAGAGAAGGAGCCGAGAAUUUAACCCAGAAGGUCAAACAGAAGAAGGCAAAGAAGCCAGCCAAGCAGACAUUACAAGACAGCUUUCUCCUGGAUCUCCAACACGAUGCUCCCCUGGCUCAGUACAGCUGGGAUGAGACCACGGAGCCCCAUGAGAGGCAGCAGGAUGUGGAUGAGCAGGGUGGGCAGUGGGAUGCAGUGGGACCUGCUGUGGAUGCCCAGCACGUUCCCAGGACUCUGGAGCAGAGGGAACAGCUCUGCAGUGAAGUGCUGAUGCUCCCUGGCCCAAGGGGAGAAGAAUCCUCUGUAAAGCAACAGAAUCCAGAACUGGAAAUUCAGCAUAUACCUGAAUCCUUGUACUCCAGAUUUUUCAGUCACUGGAUUUCCUUUGCUGGUGCAAUCGUGUCCCUCAUCAUAAUGUUUGUCAUUCAGUGGAUCUACACCCUUGUCAGUCUGGGAGCAGCAGUUAUUCUGUAUUUCUACAUUGGCCAAGUGAGCCCAGGGCUCCCUCUUGGAGCAGCAGCAAAUUUCAGUUUCUUUGGCUGGAUUAAGUCGGUUUUGAUCACUUCAUGCAGGUUGGUACCAGUCACUUGGCAGUGACCAACAUGCUGCUCAUUGCUCCCAUGACCCACUAAUGAGCAUAGAGAGGGCUGGAAGAAUUGACUUGAUUAUUACCUUAAGCAGUCUUUCUGCCCCUUCUUGCAUGCUCAGGGUUAUUCUUGCUUAAUGGUGAAAAGAGCUAUUUGCUCCCAUUAGCCUGGCAUAUGGUUGGCUGUGUAUGUGGGGAAGCAGGAGUCUCCUCUGCUUUGUGUGUGGGAAUGUCUGCUGAUAGCCAUAUCUUGGUGCCUGAAGCUUUAUCUUACCCCAAAGGUCUGAGCUCAAAAUUUAUGGCUCAGGUUGAACUGGAAAAUCUGAAAGGAAAUGAGAAAUUGGAGACUCCCUCUCUUCCACCCAUCAUUCAGCGAAAGCAAAUUCCUCUGGUGGUGGUGGAGCAGGCACACAUGGUUCCUGUGUUCAAGCUUCAGAGAGGAAAUUUGGGGCAGGGGAACUGCAGUAAUUUCGGGACAAAUAAGAUAAACAGGGUCUUUGGUGAAGGAACCAUUCAGUAUUCAGUUUUCAUGGGACUGCAGUAGCAUUGUCUUGGGGUUUUGAUUCCCAGAGGGCUUUUUUUUCGUUGAUUAUUAACUAGUUUUGUUAAACUUAUUUGAUGCUAUUAAUUAUUAAUUCCAUCACAUUUGGUUUCCUAUAGCAGCUUAUGAGCACCUCUGCCUCUGAGCAGUGGGCUUUGAGUUUCUCAGUCUGCUGGUUUGUUUUUUUUUUUGGGGGGGGGAGGAGUGAAUGCCAUAGCGAGGACUGUGCAACACGAGCUGCCAUGCAUUGUAUGUGCCAAUUUGCUGGCUCCUUCAAAACAGAUGAAAGUCCAGGCAAGUAAGCACAUUGGUCUGUCUUGCCAAGUCCUGUCUCUGCCCACAGUUCCUAUAACAUGACCACACACUUUUGGUAGCAGAGGUGGUUGGGGAGAGAAGCCAGGGGUGAGGGAUCUCUCUGAGGUCCCCAUGGUACGUCUUAGACAUAACAGCACUUAAUUAAUCUUUUACAAAAGAUUCUCACGGAAUUAUGAUGCCUUUGCAUCUUCUCAACAGGUAAAGGGUUGGACUUGGAGGAGUGGAGGAAUCAGCCCAGGCUCUCUCAUCAGCAUUUAGUGAUGGUCCUCCAAGUAUAGCAAAUUUGAUAGUUCACUGCUCUGAGAGGCCCCACUCAGAGGGAGGUGCUGGGCUGAGACCAGCACCAGGAGAGCUCAAAGGGUCUCACUCUGGACUGCUGCUCACAGUGUAAUAAGACAGUUGGCUUUGGUCAUAGUAGUUUUCCAUCCUGGCCACAGUUUUUGUCAGUAACUUUCUUUGAAUGCUAUAUAACAAAAAUAUUGUUCCACUUGGGUUGUUACUCAUGCAAGAAAAAUAAGUUUCCAAGGAUAUUCAUUAAAAACCAGAAGCUGCUAGCAUUAGUUCCCUGGAGCAGACAGUGUUUCUGAUAAGCUCAAGAGGAGCUGAGCCCAGGUGCUGUUUGUCAGGCAUUACUCAGAUCACAGUGCAGCCCGAGGGGCAGGGCGAGUGGGAUGCACCACCACAUAUGUUUUCUGCAUAUCUCAUUUGGAGUAAGGGAUUAUUCCCUGUCCCCUUGCACAACAUCUGCUGGAGUGGUGACACGAGCCUAAGCCAGGGGUGAGGAGUUGAGCCUGGGAACAGGGUGAGGGGGGCCAUGCUGAUAUGCUGCCAGAAUUACUCAUGGCACAGUGAGCCAGACCCUGCUGCUUCAUAUCCCGGGCAGUUCUGUCUGCUUCCACCCCAGGCAGAUUUGUGGCUGCUCAGUUUAGCUCGGUGCCUCUGUGAUGACAGAACAGCAUUUUCCUCCCAGUUGUCCUUUGGUACAUCUCAGUGGUGUCUCUUGCCUGUUGUCAGAAAUCCCCAUGGGAGUCUGGUUGAGGUGUGAGGCUUCAUGGAGAAUGCCCACAUGUGAAAAAGAGAAAUAUCUCUGCCUCUUGUAUAGAGAGGUGCUGUUGUCACAGGAGGAUUUUAUCUUUGGGUUACCAGGCCAAUAAAGUCCUUGGUUCUUUCAUCAAUGCAGUCAAUGAGCUAAGACUCUGUCAAGGAAGGCUGAGGGGAGAUCUGGUGAGUGCCCAAGGUAGAAAGUGAUCCCGUUUUUCUCUCCUCAAAGAGUGCAAUCUCUGGGUCAUCCAGAGGUUGGUCACCUUAUCCUAGUGCCAGGGCUCCUGCUCUUUCUGGCCAAAAGACACCUUGGGCUCUGCUUGGGAGUCAGGAGAAGGCCAAGUCCCCAGGAGCAGAUCGUGGUGACACCAUCCUUUGCAACAGU